UGGAGUGUGAAUGCGGUUUUCCAUGUAUGACAUGAAUCUAUUAUCUGAUAUUUUUAGUCUGUGUUUUGCUGUACUUUCAGGGAAGAUAAUAGCAAUUCAACAUGGAGAAGAUGAACUCAGAGCUAUAUUUGCAGAACUGUUAUAUCAUCAGACAAAAUGAGAUGCUUAGGAAGAAAGCUCAACAACUAAACAAGGAGAAUCAGGCUCUGUUGUCUGAGCUGAAGCAGAAGCAGAAGCUCUC
rnacentral:misc_RNA from 1 species